rnacentral:rRNA from 1 species
GAUGAACGCUGGCGGCGUGCUUAACACAUGCAAGUCGAACGGAAAGGCCCUGAUUUUGUGGUGUGCUCGAGUGGCGAACGGGUGAGUAUCACGUGAGUAACCUGCUCUUGUCUUUCGGAUAACUUCAGGAAACUGGGGCUAAUAUCGGAUAGGAGCUACUGAUGCGUGGUGGGGGUUGGAAAGUUUCGGCUGUUGGGGAUGGACUAGCGGCUUAUCAGCUUGCUGGUGGGGUAGUGGCUUACCAAGGCUUUGAAGGGUAGCCGGCCUGAGAGGGGGACCGGCGACAUUGGUACUAAGAGACGGCCCAGACGGCAACGUUAGGCAGCAGUGGGAAAUAUUGCACAGUAGGCGGAAGCCUGAUGCAGAGACGCCGCGUGCGUGAAGACGUCCUUCUGGGUAAAAACAGCUUUCGCCUGAGACGAAGCGUUAGUGACGGUAAUGAAUAAAGAAGCACCGGCUAACUACGUG